rnacentral:rRNA from 1 species
UACGUAGGGUGCAAGCGUUAAUCGGAAUUACUGGGCGUAAAGCGUGCGCAGGCGGUUUUGUAAGUCAGAUGUGAAAUCCCCGGGCUUAACCUGGGAACUGCGUUUGAAACUACAAGGCUAGAGUGUGGCAGAGGGGGGUGGAAUUCCACGUGUAGCAGUGAAAUGCGUAGAGAUGUGGAGGAACACCGAUGGCGAAGGCGGCCAUCUGGGACAACACUGACGCUGAAGCACGAAAGCGUGGGGAGCGAACAGG